AAUUCACCCCGACCUUAACAAUGCCAAGGUCGAAAUAAUGUUGCCAUCUUAUGUCCCCCCUCAAACCACGUACAACUUUCGUCUAAAAUAUUUUUGCCUAUUAAGUUCAAUUUUCGAUAUAUUUUGGUGUUUUGUCUUAGGUGAAAUAUGAUAUACGUAGGAAAAUAUUCGAUGAGAAAACUUUCUUGAUUGACAAAGACAGUCGUUAUCGCGUCUGGAGAAUCGACAAUACCAGAUACGAGUAGAACAACAUUUUACCAUCGCUGAGCAGUAUGUGGACAUUCUAGAUGGAAUCAUGCUGCCCAGAGUACGAAGAUGCUAUAACGAACAAGAUCACCUCAGGAUUGUCGUCGUGGAAGAUAACAAUCCAAACCAUACCGCUAGGAUUACCAGAGUUCAAUAUGAGGACCAUUCAGACAUCAUACAGUUAAAUUUUGGCCUCCAAGAUCUCUAGACCUCAUUGGAAAUCUUUGAGCAACGAGCGUGCAUCUACACUGUAAAAAAACUUGUGUAGCUUGGGCUGAACUAGCAUCCUGUUUAUUGCCAGGCAAUAGUUAAUUCGAUGCACUGCAAACUACUAACUGUAUUAGCCACCGAUGGACACGCUAUAAACUUAGAGGCUCGGCACGGCAUUCUUGGUAUGCAAGGAAAUGGACGUCCCUCGGUUUCGACGGGUGCUGUGUAUUAUAUAAAUGUAUUAUUA